GGCUCAGGAUGAACGCUAGCUACAGGCUUAACACAUGCAAGUCGAGGGAAACGAUAUUGGAAGCUUGCUUCUGAUAGGCGUCGACCGGCGCACGGGUGAGUAACGCGUAUCCAACCUGCCCAUCACUUGGGGAUAACCUUGCGAAAGUAAGACUAAUACCCAAUGACGUCUCUAGAAGACAUCUGAAAGAGAUUAAAGAUUUAUCGGUGAUGGAUGGGGAUGCGUCUGAUUAGCUUGUUGGCGGGGUAACGGCCCACCAAGGCGACGAUCAGUAGGGGUUCUGAGAGGAAGGUCCCCCCACAUUGGAACUGAGACACGGUCCAAACUCCUACGGGAGGCAGCAGUGAGGAAUAUUGGUCAAUGGACGAGAGUCUGAACCAGCCAAGUAGCGUGAAGGAUGAAGGUUCUAUGGAUUGUAAACUUCUUUUAUAAAGGAAUAAAGUCGGGUAUGGAUACCCGUUUGCAUGUACUUUAUGAAUAAGGAUCGGCUAACUCCGUG
rnacentral:rRNA from 1 species